AAAGCUGCCAGUCAGGCGGUCUUCAGAGCGCCGUCUGAGAGAAUCACACAGCCGUGGCAGCUCUUGAGCUGCCACUCCAACAGAGAUUGAGAGUUAAACACGGCAGCACUGAUGACGGAGCAGCUCCUCGGAAACAGGCAGCUUCCUCUCAGGACCCGUCACUCACUGAUUGCAGAUGUGACAGAUUUGAUCCUGGGCGAGUGUUAAAGCACAUCAUCUUCUGCAGUUCUGGAUCAAAGAGAGAUUCCACUGCUGGAUAAAAUAGUAAAGGUAGUAUAACAAAGAUAUGUACAGUACUAAAUUAACCACUCUAUAAAGACAUGUAGAAAAAAGAAAAAGAAGCAUAUGAAUUAUGAUUUAGGUUAAUGCGUUUAAUGUUUUCCAGGAACAAAGAACGCAUUUCCUGGUGACUCUGUAAUUCCACUCAAUUCGACUGGCAAAUAUGCAAUUGACUCAACAUGAAUUUAACUUACAGAAAUAAAAGUAAAAGAACCCUGACAUCUUUUCAGAAACUAGACUUUUACGGUGUUUUUUCGCGGUAGUAAGCCAUGUGCUACUACUUCCCUCUUUGUUCCCAGUUUACCAACUUACUUCCCCAAGAAGGACACAUCUUAUACUGCAAUCACG
rnacentral:lncRNA from 1 species